UGGGGAAGGACUGUGGCAGUCAGGAGACUCAAGUGCUAGACUCAGCUUUGCCUCCAAGGAGUUUGUGGUCCUGGGCAAGUCUCUCCCACUCUCUGGAUCCCAGCUUUCCUGGCUGGACAGCAAGGACUCUAAGUAACUCUAUGAGAUGGACACAACAAGGAUUCUUAAUUGCCCACCAUUACAGACUUGAACACUGAAGCCCAGAGAUUGAAAGACUUCUGCUUAAAGUAGCACAGCCAAACAAGACAAGAAUCCAAGGCUCCUGACUAGAAGAGCAGGUCAGGCAAAGACAGAAUUGCAAAAACAGAGGUUGCAACCAAAGUAAAAGGAGUUACAGUAUGAUAUUAGAAAGAAGUUCCUGGAGAUAAUUGACAUGAAGACAUCACUGGCCUGUUACACGUACUUUAUUUGUCCUCUUCUUUUUAGCACAACUUCUGCACUUCAUCCAACCUGUUGUUUUGUCCAUGCAGAGCUGGGCAAAGAUAGAAGCAGUACCUUAAUGAGCACCCCAUCAUGGGAGGUGUACAAGCAGAAGCUGAAUGACCCUUUGGCAAGGGAUUCCUGAAUCAAAUGGGAGGUUGCCCUGGAUGACCUUUCAACUUCCCUCCCAAGUCUGGUAACCCAGGCAUCAGUGAUUCCACAAUGUUCUCUCACUUUCCCAUCUCUGGGCCUUCUUUCAUGCUCAGUAUCUUGGAUGCACCUCCCCUGCCAACCAGCCCAUUCAAACUGUCAUGACUGUUCAAGAUCUGGCACCAGGCACACCACCUUUAGAAAGCUUUCCAGGAAUACCUCCAGGCCCUGAUUUUGUCAUCUUUCAUUUGAUUCCUAUAGCACUACGAUUUCACUGUCUCGAUUAAAAAUGAUCUUUUUAUUUCCUGGAUGUUACGGGCUGAAUUGUUUUCCCCCAAAAUUUAUAUGUUGAAGUCCUUCCAGUACCUCAGAAUCUGAUGACUCGGAGAAGACAGUCAUCUAAACAGCAAGCCAAGGAGAGAGGCCUCAGAAGACCCAACCCCACUGAUACCUUGUUCUCAGACUUCUGGCCUCCAGGAUUAUAAGAAACUCAAUUUCUGUUGUUUAAGCCACAGAGUCUGUGGUAUUUUGUUAUGGCACAGCCCUAGCGAACUAACACAAUGGUCAUAUGAACAUUUUACUGUCCCCUUUCACUUAAAUGGCAUUAUGUGUUUUUGAAGCAGUGGCAAUGAAUUACUAAUUUCUGCAUCUUCUACAACAGUGACUGGCACAUAGUAAAUACCCAAUAAAAACUUGGAAUUUUUUGAUGGAUGCAUUCAUUCAACAUUAUCAUUUAGCCCCUGUGUGCCAGGCAUUGUGACAGAUGCUCAGGAUACAAGACAAAGUUCCUCAUGGACCUUACAAUCUACUUACAGAAGAGAGAUAGACAAUAAAUAAGUAAACAAACAAAAAUAUUUAGAGAUUGUAAUAUGUGCUCUGAAGGAUAUAAACCAAUUUAUGUGAUGUGAGUAGCCCUGGAAUUGUGGAAAGUAUCUGUGCCGGUCAUGGUCCAAUCAGGAAAAUAAAAACCACCCUAGGUCUUUUAAACUGCGAGCAUUUAAUGCAUGACACUUACAGAGCUAACAAGCCAGACAGAGGAUGAGGAUGCAGCAACCUAGCAUUUAACAAACACAGAAAGCUGCUACCACUCGUAGGGAUGGACGGAUAACAGAUGAAGCCAUGCAGAAGCUAAAAUCAUGGGUUGGACAGCCUAUUGGAAGCAGGUGCCAUGAAUGGAAGAGUUGUUCAAGAGGAGCUGGAGCCAUGGAGGAAUACAGCUACCACCAGAAAACACCUCUCUGAUACAGGUGGUGGGAGAAAUACCCUGGGUUCUCCCUUCCUCCUAGCCACCAAUCUCCUGUACAUGUCUCCCAUUGGACAAAAGAAGUGAGAAAGCAAGGAAAUCUAACAAAUGUAAUUUUCAGGAGAAGAGUGGAGAAUGGAUCUGGAUGCAAACAGGCCAGUGUUAAUAUAAAGCCUAGGGACUCCUGCAAAAAACAGGUGCCUAGAGACUCCUGCAAAAAACGUGUUGAUCCCAGAGGUGUAAAUAGAUGCUGUUGAAUCCAGUCAUUAUGUCUUGAGCACCUAUUUGCCUAGAACCAUAUGAGUAGUUAGAGGAGACAUAAUGUAGUUGGUAGGGCAUAAUCUCUGAAGUCAGAACAACUUGGAUUGUAUUCAGUUAUUGGCUUUGCCACUUACUUGGGCAGAUUAUUCAAUGUUCUAUGCCCUGACAGUUUCUUUAUCUGUGAAUAGGGCUGACAAGAUAGUUACAAAGAUUUGAUAAAUUUGUCCAAGGAAAGUACUUAGCACAGGGCCUGGAAGCCAGUAAGAAUUCAGGACAGGACAAUAGAAAUCUGGAAAAGGGGUUUCCAUAAUCUCUGUGUUCACUCUCUUGAAGUCCUGUGAUCUCCCAGAAGCCUCUUUGGUACCUAGCCAGGCACCAGCUCUCCACUCUAGUAGAGGGCCAUGAGCAAAAUGAAGAGAAAGACAGUCAUGUCCCAGCUUAUCUGUGACUCAGGUUCUCCAGUCAUACAAUGAACACACUAAUUGUGUACCUAAGAGUGUUAAAGAAUCACUGAUCCAUAGAUAUCAGAGUUGGCCUUAAUAAUUGUAAAGAUUAUUUCCUCCAACAGUCUCAUUUUACUGAUGAGAAGAUAUAGCCCCAGGGAAUGGAAGGAGCUCCCAAAGUCACAAAGUAAGUUAGUGGCUGAGCUGGGAUAAAAACUCAAACCCUUGAUUCUCCAGUGAGUGGAGUGCAGUAGUGAAAACGGGUAAAUACUGAAAGGACACAACUACUAUAAUUCCAAAUAUUGGAGGCCCAAGACUAACGUGUAUAUUAUAAACUCUUAUCUUUACAAAGCAAUAUUUCGUACAUACAUUACUACCUAUUUUUAUUUAUUCAUAAAAUCAAUAAAUAUGUGUGCCUACAAUGUGCCAGGUAUAGUAUGUUAAGCACUGAUGCCAUAGCAGUGAACAAGAUGGACAGAGUUCAUGCCCUCAUUUCUAUUCAAUAAACAACUAAAUCUGGUAAGCAAAUGUGCUAAUACAGAUGGUGAUAAGUGCUAUAAAAGAAAGAAAGUGAAGGGAUAGAGUAACUCUGGGGGAGGAAAGGGAGUUUAGAUAAGGAAGGCUUCUCCAAGGAGAAGGUAUUCAAAUUAAGGCCUAAAGGCUUAAGGCGAGCCAGCCAUGUAAGAGGUAGGGGGAAAGUAUUCCAGGCACAGAAAACAGAAAGUACAGAAGCCCAAAGGAUUGAACUGGCAUGUAAUGUUGCAGGAAUUAGAAGCGCAAUGAGGCUGAAACCUAGAAAGAAAGAGGGAGAAUGAUAGGAGACAAAUUUGACAGAAGCCAGGUCAUAUAAAGCCUUG
rnacentral:lncRNA from 1 species